rnacentral:rRNA from 1 species
UACGUAGGGGGGCUAGCGUUGUCCGGAAUCAUUGGGCGUAAAGAGCGCGUAGGCGGCCAGAUAAGUCCGGUGUGAAAGUCAAAGGCUCAACCCUUUGAAUGCCGCUGGAAACUGUCUGGCUAGAGUCCGGGGAGGGGCGAGUGGAAUUCCUGGUGUAGCGGUGAAAUGCGCAGAUAUCCGAAGGAACACCGGUGGCGAAGGCGGCUUCCUGGACCCGACACUGACGCUGAGGCGCGAAAGCUAGGGGAGCAAACGGG